AGGGCAAUCGUAGAGCAGAACUGGCAGCGAAGGAGAAGGCGCGAGCGCCGGGCGGGGUCAGGCGGACAUGGUCCGGCACUGGGCAGAGGAACGACGGGAAGCGGCGCCAGGCAGGAGAGGCGCACCGGGAUAGGGCGGGGGUAUACCUGCCCGCGCCGUCCGAGGGGGUGGCUAGCUUCGGGCCUGCUCUGUGGCUACAAACAGAGUCUCGCCGCGGGCAUCCGAACGGGGCAGGCGAGAAGAGGAAGAGCGAUAACAGUCUGGUACCGCCAAGCUGCUGCGGCAUCCAGGAAUCCAGAGACGAUGCCGUACACCAGCCGCAGCAUGCGGGUAUCAGCCGGCUCCGCCUGUUGCUGCGGCGUGGCCAGCUCGUACGCGCGCACCGUAGCUCUUCCAGCUCACAGCUGUGUCUGCGGGCGCACAAACUGCUUCUGCAGCCGGCUGACUCACGGCUGCCCUCGGUUGCCUGUACCGCGAUACCGUAGCCCGCUAGCUAACGCAUGCGCACUAAGGCGGCGCGUUGACUGCCGCCCUUCCCUGCUCGCAAGGGGCCGCACACGCAUGCCCAAUGCAGCGCAUGGUGUUUGUGUUUCCUGCUUAAAAAUGUUCAGAGGUUUUCCCGUUACGGUUUAUUGAUUAGAAUUUGUUGUUGAGGGUUUCUCAAUCGGGAAUUACUGUUUGUUAGUUUAUUUUCUGUGUCUCGGUAUUUAUCAGUGAGGGUUUACAGUUUGCUUAUUUGCUGAUUGGCUGUAGGAUUUAAAAUCCAAUCUCAUCCGUAAGUUUUAAAGCUCCAAUGAAUCGUGAGGUUCCAAGAUUUGCAGUUUAUCACUUCAGAUUCAGAGCUUAUGGCUUUCUGAUAAAUAGAAAGGUCUAAAUCCUUAAACAGUAAACUGUAAGCUACGAAUCAUAAAUGGUGGGCUGUGAAUCCCCCUUUCCCCUGUACUCCGAUGAGUGCAGGACUGUUACACCUAGACUGCCAAGGCGACAAGUGAGCUGAGAGCCACGAAGGUUUUGCACAGGGCUCUGGUCUGGGGCAGAGCAGAAGUGCAGACAAGUGAGAUCAGAGGUCUUACUCUCAAAUAUCAGAUUCCUGUCCCCGAAGGAAAGGUAGCUGACAGCUCCCCGGAGAUCUGCCACAUCAAGGGCAGUAGCAGGAUCCAACUUUUCUCCACUGGAUUGACCAAUGCUGGCAUGUUGACAACUCUUCAGGUGUCACAGGGUAAAGGGGAGUGUACUGGCACUGAGCCCUGUGGCAGACAGUUCCUGGUGUUUCUGUGCAGUAAUUAAACGGUUGUUUUAUUCUUUGCACUCAUGUCUGUGGUUCCUGCAGUCCCUUUGCACUCAGGAAGAAGGGCCUGAACGUGGUGCCCAGGGGAGGAGGUUACACACUGUGUCUUGGCUGGGAGCUGGUCCCCAAGUCUCUUGGACUUUGGGGUCCCUGUGCUUUCCAGGGAACCCAGUGCAGUUCACACAGCUGUGGGGAAUUUCCCUUGAAUAGUCUUGACCCUUGUGACUCUUGGGGGUAUUUCCCAUCAUCCUGGAGGCAGCCAGGGCCCCUCCAGGGCUGUGUGAGGUCCCCAGACUGCUCAAUGAUUUGCUUUCAGCAUUCCACGAUGUCCCUUGUGGGUCUGGGGCUUGCGUGCAUUGUGCUGGGAGAUAGUGUUUCUGUGGGGAUGGGGGGAGCCUGCAAGCAUAGUCCUGUUAGCUCCGUUGGCCCCUGUGACAUGUCUUACGGCAUCUUUGGUGUGCACUGGCACCUUUCAUUUGUAUUUUAGUUUGUCCUAGAGCCUUGCAUUUCCCUUUGAUGCCCCCAGGAUGCCUCAGUUAUCGUUUUGGGUUGCCCCCAAGCCCCUCGUGUGCCUUUUGGUGUGCCCCAGAGCCCUGCAUUUGCUUUGCAGCAUGUGACAAAAUUCUCUUUAGCUUUCUCCUCUGUCCCAGAGUUUUUUGGGUGCUUCUUGGUGUGUCCCAGGGCCCUCCCUUUGCCUUUUGGUGCCCCCAGAAUCAUUCUGUUUGCUCUAUCCUUGCUUUUUUUUUUUUUUUUUUUUUUAAAAAAAAACUUUUGUUGCACCCGCAGCUCUUGAUUUGUUCCCUUCUCCCUUGAAUGCUCCCUUUUAUUCUCUGUGUGCUCCAGGGCUCUGCCUUGAGCUGCUCUCAAGAGUGGGGGUGCCUCUGCUGCCCUGGCAGUCCCAGCUGUCCCUGAUGGGCUGCAGCUGUGAGCCCUGUGGCUGGGACAAGUCCCAGGCAGGGCCUGUUGGGUUGAUGGCAAGGGCAGGAAGCGGGCACAUGCUGGGACUAGGGUCUGUAUUUGGAAGAAGCUCGUGUCGGGGUCGGUCCAGGACAAUGGAGGUGCUGCCACACACUGCCUGCUGGAACUGGAACGUUGGCCACACCACAGAGGAGAGCUAGAACCAACAAUAGUAAAUGCUGACGGAGAGGAAAGCCGGACAAGCGGUCUUUUUGUGAUUAAUACCUGAGGGACGAAGUGAAUGAAACGAGGAAGCAAAAAUGCAGUAGACCCCUGAUAUCCCCAGCACCUGCUGCAGAAGGAGGUGUUCUGCCACGGGCAAGUGUGCAGAUAGACAGGGAAGGAUACAAUACUUACUCUUUCGGACGAAUUGCCAGGGCUGAAGUUGAAGAGACCAGAAAAACGUAAGCAAGCUGAGGUGCGAAAACCACGUGGAACCAGCCGAGAGCCGUCUCCGUCUCCCGCGAACGAAAGCCCGUCCUUCCUGACUAGGAAGGCUCACUGUUAGUAGCGAUCGAAAUAACGGAUCACAGACGUAUAACGAAGGCGUUCGUAACGUCGGGGAACGACUGCACGCUGCCGUGAAGAAUUACGGGCUACCGCCCUCGGACCUCUGCAAGUUAUCGCGUGUCAGGAGCGGCCGGUAGGAUCCAGAUGCCAGCGGAAAGGUUCUCCUCCCGGUCCCGACGAGGAGCCUUCGGCCGUAGGAAGGUCGGCCGCGUCCUUACCUGUGCUGAGCGUAGUCUGGCCGUCGAAAGAGCGUUGUCGUCGCCGGGAGCUCUCCGCGGAGAUCUGCGUCUGGCCGCCGAAGACGAGCGGAAGGCGAGCCCGGGCUUGCGGCGUGGACGCAGCUAAGUCCCGGGGCUGCGUUGCGUGUGAGCAGGGCUGGGACGUGGCAGUGGUUUUGCCCUUGGCGGUUACGGGCGUCACUGGCCGUGGAUGGUUGCCCGCGGAGCCGAGAGGAGCAAAACUAUCAACGGUCCGUGGGGGAGACGAAUUAGCGCUUGCGGCGUUUCAGAGCUGAAUCCUAUCCCCGAAGGAAAAAGCAGAAGGGGCAGGCCGUCGGCUACGCAGACGCCUGCCGCCUCGGGGGCUGCGGCGGGAGCUGACCCUUCCCCGACGGACGGGCGGACGGUCGGAGAGACGGACGCUGGCGUGGCGAUGACUCUUCAGGUGUCACAGGGUAAGGGGAAGCGUGCCGGCACCGAGCUCCGUGGCAGGCUCGCUCCCAGGUGGCGUUCCUGCCCAGUAAAACAAUAAACAGCCGCUUCAUUCUU